CCGCAGCCCCUUGGCUGCCGGCGGCCCUCCCGUCCCCCUCCCUCUGCGGCCUCUCCCUUUCGCCGGAAGGCGCCGCUGAGCGCGGCCGGGCGGGUUGAGUCAGCCCGGGGCCCCGGCGGUUCCGCCAAUGGGGCUGGACAGCGAUUUCUGUGCUCCGGCCGCGCGAGCGCCGGGGCCCUCCGCGCGGGGCCGCCUGGCCGCCGCCGCCCGCGGGACGCCGUGGGGGAGCGAGGCCGCACACUUCCGGGGCGCCGGGGGUCCCCUCGGGCGCUCGGGGCUCGGCGCCUCGGGAGGGCGCUCGCGGCGGCUCCCCGGCCCCGAGCGGAGGGCGAGCCCGGGCCCGGCGAGGCGCCUGGGCUGCGGCGACGAGAACACAGUUAUGGCCACCCAGGUAAUGGGGCAGUCCUCCGGAGGAGGAGGGCUGUUCACCGGCAGUGGCACCAUGGGCAUGGCCUUGCCCAACGACAUGUAUGACUUGCCUGAUCUCUCCAGAGCCGAACUGGCUGCGCCUCAGCUCAUCAUGUUGGCCAAUGUGGCCUUAACUGGGGAAGUAAACGGCGGCUGCUGUGAUUACCUGGUUGGCGAAGAAAGGCAGAUGGCCGAAUUGAUGCCUGUUGGGGAUACCAACUUUUCAGAUAGUGAUGGAGAAGGACUUGAGGAGUCUCCUGAAGUAAAAGGCGAACCCAGUGGGCUGGAAAACAUGGAACUGGAAGGUGUGGAACUCAGCGUUGUCCAGCCACGGCCUGUGUUUGAGGUAUCCGCUGCCUCAGAACCGUACAGCGCAAAUAAAGAUCUUCCUCGGGAAACACCGGUAGCAGAGGACAAAUGCAAGAACUUGAAGACCAAACCCUUUCGCUGUAAACCAUGCCAGUAUGAAGCAGAAUCUGAAGAACAGUUUGUGCAUCACAUUCGAGUUCAUAGUGCCAAGAAAUUUUUUGUGGAAGAAAGUGCAGAGAAGCAAGCAAAGGCCAGGGAAUGCAGCUCUUCCCCUGGGGAAGAGGGAGAUUUCUCCAAGGGCCCCAUUCGCUGUGACCGCUGUGGCUACAACACCAAUCGCUAUGAUCACUAUACUGCUCACCUGAAACACCACACCCGAGCCGGGGACAGUGAGCGAGUCUACAAGUGCAUCAUUUGCACGUACACCACAGUAAGCGAAUAUCACUGGAGGAAACACUUGAGAAACCAUUUUCCAAGGAAAGUCUACACAUGUGGAAAAUGCAACUAUUUUUCAGACAGAAAAAAUAAUUAUGUUCAGCAUGUUCGAACCCAUACAGGAGAACGUCCAUAUAAAUGUGAACUUUGUCCUUACUCAAGUUCUCAGAAGACUCAUCUAACCAGACAUAUGCGUACUCAUUCAGGUGAGAAGCCAUUUAAGUGUGACCAGUGCAGUUAUGUGGCCUCUAAUCAACAUGAAGUAACCCGCCACGCAAGACAGGUUCACAAUGGGCCUAAACCUCUUAACUGCCCACACUGUGACUACAAAACAGCAGAUAGAAGUAACUUCAAAAAACAUGUGGAGCUCCAUGUAAAUCCACGGCAGUUCAACUGCCCUGUAUGCGACUAUGCAGCUUCCAAGAAGUGUAAUCUGCAGUAUCAUUUCAAAUCUAAGCAUCCUACGUGUCCUAAUAAAACCAUGGAUGUCUCAAAAGUGAAACUAAAGAAAACCAAAAAGCGAGAGGCUGACUUGCCCGAUAACAAAAUCUCCAGUGAAAAAACAGAAACAGAGCAGACAAAAACAAAGGGGGAUGUGACUGGGAAGAAACACGAGAGGUCUGUAAAAGUGGAGAGAAAAGAUAAUGUUUCAAAAGAGAAAAAGCCUUGUAGUAAUGCCUCAAGCCAAGUGACUACCAGAACUCGCAGAUCGGCCAUGGAAGCUAAAGAAAUGGAUGUGCACCCAGGAAAUAAUUCAGAAAAAAGCUGUAAAAGCAAGAGAAGCAAAAGGAGGAUGGACGCUGAAGCCCAUUCCUCCCAAGAUCCUGUUAAUGAUGAACCUGUGACAAAAAAGAAAAAGAAGGCAGAAAGCAAAUCCAGAAAUAGUCAGGAAGUGCCAGUGGGUGACAGCAAAGUAGAGGAGACUAAAAAGCAGAGUAUUUGCAUGAAAAGCAGUACAAAGAGGAAAACCCUGAGAAGUAAAUCAUGUAAAAAAAGCAACAAGCCUGCUCAGAGGAGACCCGCUCAGAUAGAGCCUCCUCAGGUGGGGCCUGCACAGACAGAACCUCCUCCUCCCACGGAGCCUGCUCAGGUGGGGUCUGCUCAGACAGAGCCUCCUCCUUCUCCUCUCCCCCCUUCUCUCCCUCCUCCUCCUCCUCCUCCUCUUCCUCCUCCUCUUCUUCCUCCUCCUCCUCUUCUUCCUCCUUCUCCUCCUGUGGGGCGUGCUGAGGUUGAGGUUGUCCAGGAGGGGCCUGUUCAGAUGGAACCUCCUCCUCCCCCUCCGCUUGUGGGGUGUGCUGAGGUCGAGGGUGUCCAGGAGGGGCCUGUUCAGAUGGAACCUCCUCCUCCCCCUCCGCCUGUGGGGUGUGCUGAGGUCGAGGGUGUCCAGGAGGGGCCUGUUCAUUCGGAGCCUCCUCCUCCCAUGGAGCCGAUCCCCAAAAGGUCUCCGCGAAAAGAUAAUAGAAAGGAGAAGUCCAGCAUGCAGAGUGAAAUGGUGCAGGAGCAAGUCCUUAUUGAAGUUGGCUUAGUGCCUGUUAAAGACAGGCAGCUUCUAAAGGAAGCACAGGAUCUCUUACCACCAUCACCACCUCUGCCAAAGGAAAACUUAAAAGAGGAGGAGUCAAAAGACCAAAAAUUAUUCCCUGCAGGUGAAGGAAAUAAAGAAGCUCCUCUUCAAAAAGUGGAAGCAGGAGAGGCAGAUAAGAGUGUAGCUGGUCUUGCUGCUGUUACCAAGGAAUCUGUCAGUACUUCGUCCUCUGAAGCAAGCUUGAAUAUGCCAGAGGGUGAAACUUUACAUGGUAAACAUCAGGCUGACACUAUUCUUUGUGAAAUGGAGAUGGACACUUGUGAGAAGAAAACAGGGAAUCCCUCCGGCAGAAACUUGGCAGUUGAAGAACCAAUUUCACCACCACUUCUUCCUCUGUUGCUCGAAAAAGGUGAAGCAGUGACCACAGCUGCUAUGGCAUCACCUCCUGUCACCGUGGCAGUAAAUGAGUCUCAGGAAAUGGACGAAGACGAAGGCAUCCACAGUCAUGAUGGAAGUGACCUAAGUGACAACAUGUCAGAGGAUAGUGAUGAUUCUGGAUUGAAUGGGGCUCGGCCUGUUCCGCAAGAGACUAGUAGAAAAAAUGGAAAGGAGGCCUUGGCAGUCAAAGUGGCGGAGGGAGAUUUUGUUUGUAUCUUCUGUGAUCGUUCUUUUAGAAAGCAAAAAGAUUAUAGCAAACACCUUAAUCGCCAUUUAGUUAAUGUCUACUUCCUUGAAAAGGCAGCUCAAGGGCAGGAGUAAUUAAAGUUUGGGCAAGGCUUCAGUUCUCAGUUUGUAAGGUCUGUGACAUUUUAUAUUCAUUUGUAGUAGUAGACAACCUUUUGUUUUUAAAAUUGCUUUAAUUAUUAUCCAGUCUUGAUUUUUAAGUGGCAGUUCUUUUUCUUAGGGCUCUGUGUAUCUGUUGAUGUACAGAUCUUAGCAAAUUCAAGGGAGUUAGUGUAUUAAACCAGUAGACAUCUAAAUCUAUUAGCUUUUGCUUUUAAUUGAACCAAGAAGGCCAAGGUGUUGCUGGAGCAUUUAUUGAUUUGUUCAGCUAUAACUUGUCAGUUUUUUCCCCAUGUCUAUCUUCCUGUUUCACUUUAGUUUAUUCAUAGUUUCUUGUUUAGCUCUAUAAAAAUUGGCAUGCUUAAAUAGCAAAUUACUUGAAGAAUUUGCCUGCUUUAUAUAAAGUUAGCACUUUAAAAUUGUUUUAGAGAUGAGAAGAGACAUUUACAUUGAAGAGAAAUUCUCCCCAGAGUGGACGUUGUAUCAAUCCAGAUUGUACACAAGGGCAGGAGGCUUUUUGGUUUUAUAGGCCACGCUUUUCUGGAUGCGCUCUCCUUUGAUGUUGACUACAUGUGGCAAGAGUGGGCGUCGGACUGUCAGAACUGUUCCUUGAGGGGUAUA